AGUUCCGGUCGCAAGAUUAAAAACUCAAAGGAAUUGACGGGGGGCCCCCACACAGCGUUGGAGCAUGUGCUUUAAUUCGAAGUAACGCGCAGAUCCUUGCCAGCGCUUGACGUGCUCGGCCACUUGCAGAGAUGCAAGGUUCCUUUGGGGGACGGGGACACAGUUGUUGCAUGGCUGUCGUCAGUUGGUUUCGUGAGAUGUUGGGUUAAGUCCUGCAAGGGGCGCAACCUUCGCCUUUAGUUGCCAGCUUUCAGUGGGGCAUUUUAAGGGGACUCCCGGUGAUAAGCCGAGAGGAAGGGGGGGAGGAUUUAAAGUCUUCAUGCCCUUUACGGGUUGGGCUACACACGUGCUACAAUGGUGGUGACAGUGGGCAGCGAGCACGCGAGUGUGAGCUAAUCUCCAAAACCCAUUUCAGUUCGGAUUGCAGUCUGCAAUUCGAGUGCAUGAAGUUGGAAUCGCUAGUAAUCGCGGAUCAGCAUGCCGCGGUGAAUACGUUCCCGGGCCUUGUACACACCGCCCGUCACACCAUGGGAGUUGGUUUUACCCGAAGGUAGUGCGGCUAACCUGUCAAGGAGGUCAGCUAGACCCUACAGGUUAGGGUCCAGCGGAUU
rnacentral:rRNA from 1 species